UACGUAGGGAGCAAGCGUUAUCCGGAAUUACUGGGUGUAAAGGGUGCGUAGGCGGGAGAUAAAGUCAGAUGUGAAAUGCCAAGGCUUAACCUUGGAUGUGCAUUUGAAACUUAUCUUCUUGAGUGAAGUAGAGGCAAGCGGAAUUCCCAGUGUAGCGGUAAAAUGCGUAGAUAUUGGGAGGAACACCAGUGGCGAAGGCGGCUUGCUGGGCUUUAACUGACGCUGAGGCACGAAAGCAUGGGGAGCAAACAGGAUUAGAUACCCUGGUAGUCCAUGCCGUAAACGAUGGAUACUAGGUGUGAGGGGUACUGACCCCCCUCGUGCCGCAGUUAACACAAUAAGUAUCCCACCUGGGGAGUACGACCGCAAGGUUAAA
rnacentral:rRNA from 1 species